CACACCGGAUCUUUCCUUGCAGCACGUGGGAUCUUCAGAGCAACAUGGAAACUCGAAGAGUUGUGGCACAUGGGAUCUAGCUCCCUAACCAGGGGUCGAACUCAGAUCCUCUGCAUUAGGACUGCAGAGCCUUAGCCAUUAGACUACCAGGUUCCCCCUAAAAUGAGAGCAGCAUGAAAGGUAGAGGCCUGUCUAUCAAGAUCACCAAAACAUACUCUUAGCAAAAGACCUGGGAAGUAUCUCCUACUUCAUCUAUAUUUAUGGAUAAAUAGACCAUUGCCUGAAUUGUUGGCUGUCUGAAUGGAUAGUGUAUUAAAACCUUCCCCCUCCUACUCCAAAAUGGAAAAAAAAAAAAAAAAAACCUUGUCAAUUAAGAUAUCUA